rnacentral:piRNA from 1 species
UGGAGCAAAUCGACCUUUUGAUACAGCAGC